rnacentral:rRNA from 1 species
AGUGAACGCUGGCGGCGUGCUUAACACAUGCAAGUCGAACGAGAACGGAUUAUAGCUUGCUAUAAUUGUCAGCUAAGUGGCGCACGGGUGAGUAAUGUAUAGAUAACCUGCCCUCUAGAAAGGAAUAACAGUUGGAAACGACUGCUAAUGCCCUAUAUGCCUUUAAUACAUAAGUAUGCAAGGGAAACGCUUUAGUGCUAGAGGAUGGGUCUGUAUGGUAUCAGUUAGUUGGUGAGGUAAUGGCUCCCCAAGACAAUGACGCCUAACUGGUUUGAGAGGAUGAUCAGUCACACUGUAACUGAGACACGGUCCAGACUCCUACGGGAGGCAGCAGUGGGGAAUAUUGCACAAUGGACGAAAGUCUGAUGCAGCAACGCCGCGUGGAGGAUGACACAUUUCGGUGCGUAAACUCCUUUUAUAUAGGAAGAUAAUGACGGUACUAUAUGAAUAAGCACCGGCUAACUCCGUGCCAGCCGCCGCCGUAA